CAGUCGCCGCGGGAAUACGUAGGUGGCAAGCGUUGUCCGGAAUUAUUGGGCGUAAAGCGCGCGCAGGUGGUUUAAUAAGUCUGAUGUGAAAGCCCACGGCUCAACCGUGGAGGGUCAUUGGAAACUGUUAAACUUGAGUGCAGGAGAGAAAAGUGGAAUUCCUAGUGUAGCGGUGAAAUGCGUAGAGAUUAGGAGGAACACCAGUGGCGAAGGCGACUCUCUGGUCUGUAACUGACGCUGAGGAGCGAAAGCGUGGGGAGCGAACAGGAUUAGAUACCCGUGUAGUCCCUGUCUCUUAUAC
rnacentral:rRNA from 1 species